rnacentral:tRNA from 1 species
GGGCCCGUAGUCUAGCGGUUAGGACGCCACCCUCACACGGUGGAGGUCCCCGGUUCAAAUCCGGGCGGGCCCACCA